rnacentral:rRNA from 1 species
UGUUGGGUUAAGUCCCGCAACGAGCGCAACCCUUGUCAUUAGUUGCUACAUUCAGUUGGGCACUCUAAUGAGGACUGCCGGUGACAAGCCGGAGGAAGGUGGGGAUGACGUCAAGUCCUCAUGGCCCUUAUAGGUGGGGCUACACACAUCAUACAAUGGCUGGUACAAAGGGUUGCAACCGCGAGGGGGGAGCUAAUCCCAUAAAGCCAGUCGUAGUCCGGAUCGUAGUCUGCAACUCGACUACGUGAAGUCGGAAUCGCUAGUAAUCGUGGAUCAGAAUGUCACGGUGAAUACGUUCCCGGGUCUU